rnacentral:rRNA from 1 species
CCUACGGGUGGCAGCAGUAGGGAAUCUUUCACAAUGGGCGAAAGCCUGAUGGAGCAACGCCGCGUGCAGGAUGAAGGCCUUCGGGUUGUAAACUGCUUUUAUAAGCGAGAAAUAUGAUGGUAACUUAUGAAUAAGGAUCGGCUAACUACGUGCAAGCAGCCGCGGUCAUACGUAGGAUCCGAGCAUGAUCCGGCGUGUACGGGUGUAAAGAGUUACGUAGGUGGGUUAGUAAGAAGCUAGGGAAAUCUGGUGGCUCAACCAUUCAGACUGUUCUCCAAACUGUUAAGCUCGAGACCGUUAGGGGUAACUGGAAUUUCUAGUGUAGGAGUGAAAUCCGUAGAUAUUAGAAGGAACACCAAUAGCGUAGGCAGGUUGCUGGGACGGUUCUGACACUAAGGCACGAAAGCGUAGGGAGCAAACAGGAUUAGAUACCCCAGUAGUC